GCAUAUCAAUAAGCGGAGGAAAAGAAACUAACAAGGAUUCCCUUAGUAACGGCGAGUGAAGCGGGAAGAGCUCAAAUUUGAAAUCUUCAAGGUUCUACCUUGACGAAUUGUAGUUUAAAGAAGUGUUUUCUGUUAGAUGAGUAGCAAAAGUUCCUUGGAAUGGGACAUCAUAGAGGGUGAGAAUCCCGUAUUUGGCUAUUCAUUCUAGCUUUGUGAUACACUUUCAAAGAGUCGGAUUGUUUGGGAAUGCAGUCCAAAAUGGGUGGUAAAUUUCAUCUAAAGCUAAAUAUUGGCGAGAGACCGAUAGCGAACAAGUACCGUGAGGGAAAGAUGAAAAGAACUUUGAAAAGAGAGUUAAACAGUACGUGAAAUUGUCAAAAGGGAAGCGUUUGACACCAGUGUUGUUUUUCCGAAAAUCAAUUACGAAUGGCUUGAUUUUGUGUUGUAUUGACCUUAUCAGCUUUCUGCACUUUUUUCGAGUCUUUCUUAAUGCACUUUUCGGUUAACAAGUCAACAUCAAUUUCUUUUGUUGUAAAAGAGUAUUCGGAAGGUGGCUUUCUUUUCGGAGAAAGUGUUUAUAGCCCUAUACUUCUACAAUCGGAGAGAUUGAGGUCUGCAGCGUAGAUCCUUCGGGGUUAGAUACACUUGUGCUAAGUUGUAGCUUUUCAUAGACAACUUGUUGACUAUGUUUAGUCAUGCGGCUUACUCGCUUAUGCUAUUUUACCUACGCUUAGGAUGUUGACAAAAUGGUUUUAAACGACCCGUCUUGAAACACGGACC
rnacentral:rRNA from 1 species